UGAACUUGGUGCUCAUUCCCACCUGGGUCCUCACGGAGCGGCCUGAGGAAUGCAACCCAGCACACCCCGUGGCAGCCCGCUGGAGCGCCCGGAACCAGAGGAAUGUGGAAGAGGGACAACCCCCUUCCAGCCCCCAGCGGCAGGGUCCCAAGUAGCCACGAUGAGAAGGCACCGCCACCAGAGAGCCUCAGGUCAGGGGAGAGGGCGUUGGAAAUGGGAGAGCAGCCGCACAGCCCCUGGCCCGCGCUAAAAAAAUGCAGCAGCAGCAGCAGAAGAA